rnacentral:rRNA from 1 species
UACGGAGGAGGCAAGCGUUAUCCGGAAUUAUUGGGCGUAGAGCGUCCGUAGAUGGUUUUGUCAGUCUGCUGUCAAAGCACAGGGCUUAACCCUGUAAAGGCAGUGGAAACUACAAGACUAGAGUGCAGUAGGGGCAGAGGGAAUUCCCAGUGUAGCGGUGAAAUGCGUAGAGAUUGGGAAGAACAUCCGUGGCGAAAGCGCUCUGCUGGACUGCAACUGACAUUGAGGGACGAAAGCUAGGGGAGCGAAUGGG